rnacentral:rRNA from 1 species
GAGUUUGAUCGUGGCUCAGAUUGAACGCUGGCGGCAUGCCUUACACAUGCAAGUCGAACGGUAACAGGUCUUCGGAUGCUGACGAGUGGCGAACGGGUGAGUAAUACAUCGGAACGUGCCCGAUCGUGGGGGGAUAACGAAGCGAAAGCUUUGCUAAUACCGCAUACGAUCUACGGAUGAAAGCAGGGGACCGCAAGGCCUUGCGCGAACGGAGCGGCCGAUGGCAGAUUAGGUAGUUGGUGGGAUAAAAGCUUACCAAGCCGACGAUCUGUAGCUGGUCUGAGAGGACGACCAGCCACACUGGGACUGAGGCACGGCCCAGACUCCUACGGGAGGCAGCAGUGGGGAAUUUUGGACAAUGGGCGAAAGCCUGAUCCAGCCAUGCCGCGUGCAGGAUGAAGGCC